AUGAACGCUGGCGGCGUGCCUCAUACAUGCAAGUCGCGCGAACAGACGAGGAGCUUGCUCCUCUGACGUUAGCGGCGGACGGGUGAGUAACACGUGGAUAACCUACCUAUAAGACUGGGAUAACUUCGGGAAACCGGAGCUAAUACCGGAUAAUAUAUUGAACCGCAUGGUUCAAUAGUGAAAGACGGUUUUGCUGUCACUUAUAGAUGGAUCCGCGCCGCAUUAGCUAGUUGGUAAGGUAACGGCUUACCAAGGCGACGAUGCGUAGCCGACCUGAGAGGGUGAUCGGCCACACUGGAACUGAGACACGGUCCAGACUCCUACGGGAGGCAGCAGUAGGGAAUCUUCCGCAAUGGGCGAAAGCUUGACGGAGCAACGCCGCGUGAGUGAUGAAGGUCUUCGGAUCGUAAAACUCUGUUAUUAGGGAAGAACAAAUGUGUAAGUAACUAUGCACGUCUUGACGGUACCUAAUCAGAAAGCCACGGCUAACUACGUG
rnacentral:rRNA from 1 species